UUAAACAUUUUUGAAGUGUACGUGAUUUGUAUAUCGCAAUUAUAAGUAAUUUUCUUUUUCUUGUUUUCCUCCAGAAUGUAGAAGAACAAAGGUAGGAUAUUACUCACAAUAACAAGCUACUGUGUUAUGCACAAACACUGUAGGCUCCAGCAGUCUUCUUUCCAGUGUCCAUCAACAGUCUCCUGUUGCAUCCCAAGCCCCAUUCCCAUGCUUUAAGCAGAGUCUCGCCUUAUUCCCAGCCAUUGAGGUGACACCUGGACUGCAGGGGCAGUUGGUACUGAAACUUCAGAACUGAGAUCGCCCUGGUCAUGGUUACGAUGCUGGAGGGACAUCAGUAAGCCUUUAUGACUUUUCAAGCCCUUUUGGCACCACUCCUUGGCUUGUAGGAAUUUAGAAGCUGGUUUCCAUGAUUUUUUUAUGUUGGGAUUUUAAAUUAAUUUUCGACAAA